CUCUGGGCUUGAUCCCAGGACCCCGAAAUCAUGACCUGAGCCAAAGUCAGAUGAUUAACCAAUUGGGCCACCCAGGCGCCCUUUGUUUUGUUUUUAAUGGGAGGAAUAACAACGAAGGAGAAUGAUCUGGCAAAGAGGAGAAAGUGGGUGGUGCAGGAGAAAGAAAUUGCUGGAGGGAUAUGCCUUAAGUGGACAAGAUGAAGGGCAUAAGCAGCGGGUUGACCUUGGCUGGCAGCAGGGACAGACAGUCCAAUGUCACAAACAGAAGGCAAGUGGUCAGCUGGGGGUACUGGGGGAGGUGCAUAGGGAAGGACUGGUGGUCAUCCAGGAGGGUGGCCCGAGAGCCCACCUGAGAAUCGUGGUCAUGGUGUGGCCGUGAGCUUUCUCUUGCAACAUGUUCAGCUGUUCGGGCAGCACAGAGAGGGUGGGGGUGUCGCAUCUGAGCUGAGCCAGGAGAG